UACGAAGGGGGGCUAGCGUUGCUCGGAAUUACUGGGCGUAAAGGGCGCGUAGGCGGACAGUUUAGUCAGAGGUGAAAGCCCAGGGCUCAACCUUGGAACUGCCUUUGAUACUGGCUGUCUUGAGUUCGGGAGAGGUGAGUGGAAUGCCGAGUGUAGAGGUGAAAUUCGUAGAUAUUCGGCGGAACACCAGUGGCGAAGGCGGCAUCCUGGACCAUUACUGACGCUGAGGCGCGAAAGCUAGGGGAGCAAACGGG
rnacentral:rRNA from 1 species